UACGGAGGGUGCAAGCGUUAUCCGGAUUUACUGGGUUUAAAGGGUGCGCAGGCGGAUAUGUAAGUCAGUGGUGAAAUCUCUAGGCUUAACCUGGAAAUUGCCGUUGAUACUAUAUAUCUUGAAUGCUGUGGAGGUAAGCGGAAUAUGUCAUGUAGCGGUGAAAUGCUUAGAUAUGACAUAGAACACCUAUUGCGAAGGCAGCUUACUACGCAGAUAUUGACGCUCACGCACGAAAGCGUGGGGAUCAAACAGG
rnacentral:rRNA from 1 species